UUGAUCCGAACCCUAGAGGUUUUUCUUCACUGAACCAAAAUGGUUCCAUAUAGAGGCCUGCAUGGUGCAAUUUAUGAAUUGUCUACUAUUAAAUAGUCAUAUUUUGAGUGAAGAAUAUAAUUUAAUCAACAUAUAGACAAGAAUAUCAGCAAUGUUUUUUAGAAUUGAUUGUCAUUAUAUGCAAACAUAGUUUGGAAAUAUGCACAGAUUUUUACCUUGUCAGCUCGGGGAUUCGGUCUUGCAACCUUUCAGUUAAUAGUCCAAUGCUCUAACCACUAGGCUACCUGCCACCCAAUGAUGGUCCUCGUUAACUUCUUUACCAAUGCAAUACAACUUGUCCAUUAGUGUCUUUUGCUCUGUUCUCAACCCUCCCCCCACAUUUCCAGAGCAAGCAUAAAUUGGCUUUAGCAAUUGCGGGCUGGUGCGGUUGAACAAACAGCUGACCCACCUGCAAGUAGCUUACCAAUAAGCACGUUAUUUUUCAAUGUGUUAAGUAUUACAGUGUGGAGUCGAUUGAGGGACCAGCCUAUGUUUCAUGAAGCCAUUAGAAGACUGUUGCUGACUGAGAGAAGGUAGAUUAUGUAUACAUAAUUUAUUAUAAAUAAUGUAUAAUAAGAACUCGAUUUGGCUUCAGCAAGCCUCCAGAGGCUCUGCAAUUGCAUCAAACCCUCCGUAUGGAUCCUACGGAUCGCAUUUUCAGAACGAGCAUAAAUUGCCUAUAACCCGCAAAUAUAAAAAAUGGCUGUAGGCCAUUGAGAAACAGCUGAACUAUUUUUUUUGACAAGGGGUGCAGGAUUUCUUUUCAGCAGAUAUGUUUCUGCUUAUAAUUUCUGACAUUUUGGUAGGCAAGUUGUUAGUCAACUUGUCUAUAAUUACAGUUGAAGUCAGAAAUUUGCAUACACUUAGGUUAGAGUCAUUAAAACUCAUUUUUCAACCACUCCACAAAUUUCUUGUUAACAAACUAUAGUUUUGGCAAGUCGGUUAGGACACUACUUUGUGCAUGACACAAUUCAUUUCCCCAAGAAUUGUUUACAGACGGAUUAUUUCACUUAUAGUUUACUGUAUCACAAUUCCAAUGGCCCAGAAGUUUACAUACACUUAGUUGAUUGUGCCUUUAAACAGCUUGGAAAAUUCCAGAAAAUGAUGUCAUGGCUUUAGAAGCUUCUGAUAGGCUAAUUGACAUCAUUUGAGUCAAUUGGAGGUGUACAUGUGGAUUUAUUUCAAGGCCUAUCUUCAAACUCAUUGCCUCUGCUUGACAUCAUGGGAAAAUCAAAAGAAAUCAGCCAAGACCUCAGAAACAAAAUUGUAGACCUCCACAAGUCUGGUUCAUCCUUGGGAGCAAUUUCCAAACGCCUGAAGGUACCAUGUUCAUCUGUACAAACAAUAGUAUGCAAGUAUAAACACCAUGGGACCACACAGCCGUCAUACUGCUCAGGAAGGAGAUGCGUUCUGUCUCCUAGAGAUGAAUGUACUUUGGUGCGAAAAGUGCAAAUCAAUCCCAGAACAACAGCAAAGGACAUUGUGUGAAGAUGCUGGAGGAAAUGGGUACAAAAGUAUCUAUAGCCACAGUGAAACGAGUCCUAUAUCGACAUAACCUGAAAGGCCGUUCAGCACUCGGAAGAAGCCACUGCUCCAAAACCGCCAUAAAAAAGCCUGACUACGGUUUGCAACUGCCCAUGGGGAGAAAGAUCAUACAUUUUAGAGAAAUAUCCUCUGGUCUGAUGAAACUAAAAUAGAGCUGUUUGGCUUAUGGCCAUUGUUAUGUUUGGAGGAAUAAGGGGGAGGCUUGCAAGCCAAAGAACACUGUCCCAACUGUGAAGCACAGGGGUGGCAGCAUCAUGUUGUGGGGGUGCUUUGCUGCAGGAGGGACUGGUUCACUUCACAAAAUAGAUGGCAUCGUGAGGGAGGAAAAUUAUGUGGAUAUAUUGAAGCAACAUCUCAAGACAUCAGUCAGGAAGUUAAAGCUUGGUCGCAAAUGGGUCUUCGAAAUGGAUAUUGACCCCAAGCAUACUUCCAAAGUUGUCGCAAAAUGGCUUAAGGACAACAAAGUCAAGGUAUUGGAGUGGCCAUCACAAAGCCCUGACCUAAAUCCUGUAGAGAAUUUCUGGGCAGAACUGAAAAAGCACGUGCAAGCAAGGAGGCCUACAAACCUGACUCCGUUACACCAGCUCUGUCAAGAGGAAUUGGCCAAAAUUCACCCAACUUAUUGUGGGAAGCUUGUGGAAGGAUACCCGAAACGUUUGACCCAAGUUAAAUAAUGUAAAGGCAAUGCUACCAAAUACUAAUUGAGUGUAUGUAAACAUCUGACCCACUGCGAAUGUGAUGAAAGAAAUAAAAGCUGAAAUAAAUAAUUCUCUACUAUUAUUCUGACAUUUCACAUUCUUAAAAUAAAGUGGUGAUCCUAACUGACAUAAAACAGGAUAUUUUUACUUGGAUUAAAUGUCAGGAGUUGUGAAAAACUGAGUUUAAAUGUAUUUGGCUAAGGUAUAUGUAAACUUUUGACUUCAACUGUAUAUACAUGCAGCUUUUCUUCUGUCAUUAGCCUAUAUGUUGCCCUUGAAGACUAAAAUAAAGCCUUGCUCACUGGAAUGUCAUAAAUUGAUGGAAUGAAUGCUUCAAUCUAGUUGACGUUGUUAAAGUCAUCUUUGCUUCUUUCACAGAGCAAAUAUGUUUAGGGACUGGGGAGAAUGCAAUAACUAAAAAACUGGAAAGAUUUUCUGUGUAAAAUUUCCAAACUACAUGAGUUUGAAAGGGUUUUAAGGAAAUAGAAAGCUGUGAAAAUGACUCGACAUGUUUCUGAUAAGAUUUAAUGUCUGCUUGGAUGGAUACUUGAUGUGGUGGAAAUACUUUCAGCUUUCAUGAUGCUGAUAAAGAUAUGGACCGUCUGUAAAGGUGCUAACUGCACAUUUUCAUUCUCUCAAGAUGUUGAUAGAAAUAUUUCUCAACACCUGUUCCCAAGUCAAAAUGUAGGCUACAUUUUGGUGUAGGCCUAUAAUUUUAAUGCAAAAAAGGCUUAAUUAUGCAGGAGUAAAAAUGAAGUCUGUGUGAGGUUAUAGACCUACUGUCAGUGUCCAGAUGUCAGUUUCCAUUUAACCCAUCUGAACAGAAAAGGAUACAGUUCCCUUGACGUGCCAUAGGCCUAUUUGAAGUCCCCGUCUUGUGACUGCCAAAUUCGUAUAGCGCGCCUCAACAUCAUCACACAAAACAUAGCUGGCACUGCAAUCAUUCUCUUUUACCAUUCACCAACUCUCCAUUUCGCAGCUUUUCUCUUAUUGAAUUUAAACUCUGACUCUCUGCCCAUUCCCAAAAGCUUUUGGCGAUAGGUGUGUAGGCUAUUUGGUGCGUAGCUAGAGUUAGACCCUAAAGCUUAAGUUUACAUAAUAAUGCCAGAAAGCCUAAAAAUAAUGAAAGAAAAAGCUCAAUGUAGCCUAUAGUUAGGGGAUAAAUUGCACAAGAAUUAUACAUUUGGAUUUUUUCAUAUAGGCUAUUGUUUUCUCUUUAUUCAGCUGCCUGCCACACACCGGCCCUUCAUCCACACAAUAUUUAAUGACCCUAAACCCGCCCGCCACGCGGAUAUAACUGCGGGGACUGCGGCUUAUGAGUCAACCUGCAAAUCAUCCCUACUUGGAAGUUGAUUCAACCACCGUCCUCUUGUGUCAUCAAGCAGGAAUGGAUUGGCAGGUGUUUUAAAAAAAAAAUCAGAAUUGCAGUCAAAUUUUGAAUUGACCAAAAUGUUCUAUAUAUAGAGUGUAUGCUUUUAUUAAACACAUUAUUUCCUGUUUCUUCUAGCUAGCAUUUAGUUUGCAACAGCACGGGUGUGUAAGAACCUUGGUCUUUACCACUCAGACCUCUGCAACACUUGCAAAAUAUGAAAUAUGAAUUAGAUCUUCCCCUUGCCAAAGAGAGCUGUGUGUGUAUGUAUAUAUACAUACAUACAUGCAUGCAUGCAUCAGAAAAUAUUCAGACCCAUGGACUUUUUCCACAUUUUGAUAGGUUACAGCCUUAUUCUAAAAUUAGUUUUCCCUCAUCAUUCUACACACAAUACCUCAUAAUGACAAAACAAAAGCAAGUUUUUAGAAAUAUGACAUUUACAUAAACAUUCAGACCCUGUACACUGUACUUUGUUGAAGUACCUUUAGCAGCAAUCACAGCCUCGAAUCUUCUUGGGUAAGAUGCUACAAGCUUGGCACACCUAUAUUUGGGGAGUUUCUAUCAUUCUUCUCUGCAGAUCCUCUCAAGCUCUGUCAGGUUGGAUGGGGAGCGUUGAUGCACAGCUAUUUUCAGGUCUCUCCAGAGAUGUUCGAGCGGGUUAAAGUCCGGGCUCUGGUUGGGCCACUCAAGGUCAUUGAGACUUGUCCCAAAGCCACUCCUGCGUUGUCUUGGCUGUGUGCUUAUGGUUGUUGUCCUGUUGGAAGGUGAACCUUUGACCCAGUCUGAGGUCCUGAGCGCUCUGGAGCAGGUUUUUAUCAAGGAUCUCUCUGUACUUUGCUCCAUUCAUCUUUGCCUCGAUCCUGACUAGUCUCCCAGUCCCUACCGCUGAAAAACAUCCCCACAGCAUGAUGCUGCCACCACCGUGCUUCACCGUAGGAAUGGUGCCAGGUUUACCCCAGACGUGACGCUUGGAAUUCAGGCCAAAGAGUUGGAUCGUUUCAUCAGACCAGAGAAUGGUUUGAGAGUCUGAUUUGAGAGUCUUUAGAUGCUUUUUGACAAACUCCAAGCGGGCUGUCAUGUGCCUUUUACUCAGGAGUGGAUUCCGUCUGGCCACUCUACCGUAAAGGCCUGAUUGGUGGAGAGCUGCAGAAAUGGUUGUCCUUCUGGAAGAUUCUCCCAUCUCCACAGAGGAACUCUCGAGCUCUGUCAGUUUGACCACCGCAUUCUUGAUCACCUCCCUGUCCAAGGCCCUUCUUCCUCGAUUUCGCAGUUUGGCCGGGCUGCCAGCUCUAGGAAGAGUAUUGGUGGUUCUAAACUUUUUUCAUUUAAGAAUGAUGGAGGCCACUGUGUUCUUCGGGACCUUCAAUGCUGCAGAAAUGAUUUGGUACCCUUCCCCGGAUCUGUUCCUCCGACACAAUCCUGUCUCGGAUCGCUACAGACAAUUCCUUCGAUCUCAUGGCUUGGUUUUUGCGCUGGCCUGCCCUGUCAACUGUGGGACCUUAUAUAAACAGGUGGGUGAAUUUCCAAAUCAUGUCUUAUCAAUUGAAUUUACCACAGGUGGACUCCAAUUCAGUUGUAGAGACAUCUCAAAGAUGAUCAAUGGAAACAGGAAGCACCUGAGCUCAAUUUUGUCUCAUAGCAAAUGGUCUGAAUACUUAUGUAAAUAAGGUAUUCUGUUUUUUUUAAUAAAUGUGCAAAAAUUUCUAAAAAGCUGUUUUCACUUUGGCAUUAUGGGGUAUUGUGUUUAGAAUGCUGCAGAUUUUAUAUUUAUUUAAUCGAUUUAAGAACAAGUGUGUACCGUAAUAAAAUGUGGGAAAAGUAAAGGGGUCUGAAUACUAUCUGAAGGUUUUCCUAAAAGUAUAUAUAUUUUUUAGAGUAGCUUACUAAUGUUGCUGUCCCCACUACAACAACAGAAGAUACAUGUAAUUUUGCGUUUGAAACAUUUAAUUGAAACACUGUCGAAUUCCAUUCAUUUCUAUUGAGGACUACUACGACUGGGGAGUGCCAAUAUGGCCCCUUAAAUGGCAAUAUAUAGCAUAGCAAUCAGGGUUUAUAUACAUCAUUGGAUAGAACCCUCAAGGUUAUUUGGCUUCACUGGGUAGGUAGUCCUAUCUAUCUAUCCUAUCCUAUCAAUCCUAUCCUAUCAAAUCUAUCCUUCCUUUUUUAGUAAAUGGUUAUUGAAUCUCGUCCAAAGAACCAAAAAGUUAUGUAUAGAUCCCCAAAUAUUUUUUUUUUCUAAGCGCAUAAGCUUUACAGUUGCUACAUUGUAGCCAGUGGUGUAGUGGUACGGGUCAUCAACAUGUGGCUUCAAUAGGCUAUUCACCAGGCUGAGUUUUUACAAUCUUAAAUCAAUCAAGUAAAAAAACAUGUUACACUGUGAUAGGAUUUUAAAGAAACGGCCUUGACAGGACAAAGGGUGGGACAUGUACUAUUAUUUAUGGUUGAGCGUUUAUUUGUCGACGCAUCCCAAAAACACUGGGUUACGUCAUGUAUUGGAACUUUGCUCCAAUCAGGACUCGCUCUGAACUAACGUCUAUGGCUUUGAAACGGGAGGGCUCAGCGUCAAUGCUACCAACGAUGACCGAGAUUCAAAAACACCGGCAAAGCGACAUCCACCAGCAAGCGGCCAACGGCCACCUGCAACAGACCCAUGCUAGGGCUACCUGAGAGACGUUACUAUUGUGGUUUAGUAUUGGACAGGCUAUGGGAUGAUUAGGUUUGCUAAACAGAGAACACUGUAUUGACAAAGGGAGUGUCAGCAGCAAGACUAGGCGCUCUUGGAAUAAAAGAAAAAGAGGCGCCCAAAUCUGUCCCUUCCGUGGACGGGUCCCCUCCUCGCGCCACUCUCGCGGAGCUAUCGCAACAAUGGACUCAGGUCUCCACGGGGAGCUCACUUUGUGUGCCAUAUCUCAAUGGGUCAGGGGUGUAUAUGCCUCGUAACGUGUGUUCUUUCCCAUGUUAACAUCGUUCUCUGGUAGUGUUUCCUUCACUCGCGUUUGGUAGGUCCAGAGUGAUAGGACUGAAGAUGCCAGGACGGAACAGGUACAAUCUGGUGGACGAUGUCGCGGAUUCGCGGGUCCCCCUCCAUAACGAAGAGGCGUACCAACACGGGAUACAUUUUCAAGCUAAGUAUGUGGGCAGUCUGGAUGUUCCCAGGCCCAACAGUCGUAUGGAGAUCGUAGCAGCCAUGAGGAGGAUCAGGUAUGAGUUCAAGGCCAAGAACAUCAAGAAGAAAAAAGUAAGCAUCAUCGUGUCUGUGGACGGAGUCAAGGUGGUCCUCCGGAAGAAACAGAAGAGGAAAGAGUGGACCUGGGACGAGAGCAAGAUGCUGAUCAUGUCUGACCCCAUAUACAGGAUCUUCUACGUGUCCCAUGACUCCCAGGACCUGAAGAUCUUCAGCUACAUCGCCAGAGAUGGCUCCAACAACUCCUUCAGGUGUAACGUCUUCAAAUCCAAGAAGAAGACCCAGGCCAUGCGUAUAGUGCGUACGGUGGGCCAGGCGUUUGAGGUGUGUCAUAAGCUUAGUCUGCAGCACGCCCAUCAGGGUAUAGAUGGACAGGCAGAUGGAGAGAGUGACAAGUCCACAGAGGACACCCCCGCUGAGGGUCGUCAGUUGACAGGGGCGGAGGAGGAGGAGGAGGAGGAGGGGUGUGGAGAGGAAGGGGAGCCCCAGGCACAGUCUCAGUCUGUGUGUGAGCAGGCGGUCAACGAGAUCCUCCAGAGUCUGGCCCAACUCAACGUGGUCCAGCCUGGACACACCAUCAUGGACUAUGAGAGCCGCUCCAGCUACAUGGUGUCUCCGAAUGGCGUGGUUUCUCCCAGCAGCCCCUGCUCGCCAUUUCUCACCCCGCUGGCGGCGCAUCACUACCUCCAGCUUCUCCAACAGCAGAUCCAGCAGCAGCAGCAACACACACAGGUGGCCGUCGCACAGGUGCAGCUCCUGAAGGAUCAGAUGUCAGUGGAGACCGCAGCUCGUGUAGAGGCCCAGGCUCGUGUCCACCAGCUGCUACUACAGAACAGAGACCUGCUCCAGCACCUGUCCCUGCUGGUCACACAGCUCAAACACCUGGAGAGCAAGGCACCGGGACAGGGACCGGGGGAUAGACACACAGCUGGACUGGGACAGGGGGAGAGACAGGGUCACAAUGAUCAGGAGUCGUCAUGGACGACCAGGUCUCUGUCACUCAACCUGAAAAACCAUUACAGCUUGAGCAGCAUGGACCAGCCCAUCACCUCCACCCCUGCAGGGCCACUCCAAAAAAAAAAAGUCACCGCUUCCCAGGUGGACGGUGCCGAGUCCUACCUCAACCUCCUCAACCUGGAGAAUGGGACCAAACCAUUGGGCUCUCAAAAUGGGGGGGAGGCGGAGACAGACACACUCAUCAGAAGAACAUCCAAUGGGAAGCCAGGGCGGAGAGACAGCUCGGAAGUGUCGUCAAAUGAGAUUGUGCGGUUCGAAACAAGGAAUUUGACAGCCCUGGAUGAAAGGUGUGAGGAACCCCUCUUGCUCAUCCUCGUCUUAAUCUAACCCUUCCAUCCCUAACCUGUAACCUCCCCCAUCCCUAACCAGUAAUCUCCCCCAUCCCUAACCAGUAACCUCCCCCAUCCCCAACCAGUAACCUCCCCCAUCCCUAAGCAGUAACAUCCCCCAUCCCUAACCAGUAAUCUCCCCCAUCCCUAACCAGUAACCUCCCCCAUCCCCAACCAGUAACCUCCACAGUCCCUAACCAGUAACCUCCCCCAGUCCCUAACCGGUAACCUCCCUCAUCCCUAACCUGUAACCUCCCCCAUCCCUAACCAGUAAUCUCCCCCAUCCCUAACCAGUAACCUCCCCCAUCCCCAACCAGUAACCUCCCCCAUCCCUAACCAGUAACAUCCCCCAUCCCUAACCAGUAAUCUCCCCCAUCCCUAACCAGUAACCUCCCCCAUCCCCAACCAGUAACCUCCACAGUCCCUAACCAGUAACCUCCCCCAGUCCCUAACCGGUAACCUCCCCCAUCCCUAACCGGUAACCUCCCCCAUCCCUAACCAGUAACCUCCCCCAUCCCUAACCGGUAACCUCCCCCAUCCCUAACCUGUAACCUCCCCCAUCCCUAACCAGUAACCUCCCCCAUCCCUAACCAGUAAUCUCCCUAACCAGUAACCUCCCCCAUCCCUAACCAGUAACCUCCCCCUUACCUAACCAGUAACCUCCCCCAUCCCUAACCAGUAACCUCCCCCAUCCCUAACCAGUAAACUCCCCCAUUCCUAACCAAUAAUCUCCCCAAUCCCUAACCAGUAACCUCCCCCAUCCCUAACCAGUAACCUCCCUAACCAGUAACCUCCCCCAUCCCUAACCAGUAACCUCCCCCUUCCCUAACCAGUAACCUCCCCCAUCCCUAACCAUUAACCUCCCCAGUCCCUAACCAGUAACCUCCCCCAUCCCUAACCAGUAACCUCCCCAAUCCCUAACCAGUAACCUCCCCCAUCCCUAACCAGUAACCUCCCCAAUCCCUAACCAGUAUCCUCCCCCAUCCCUAACCAGUAACCUCCCCCAUCCCUAACCAGUAACCUCCCCCAUCCCUAACCAGUAACCUCCCUAACCAGUAACCUCCCCCAUCCCUAACCAGUAACCUCCCCCUUCCCUAACCAGUAAUCUCCCCAAUCCCUAACCCGUAACCUCCCCCAUCCCUAACCAGUAACCUCCCCCAUCCCUAACCAGUAACCUCCCUAACCAGUAACCUCCCCCUUCCCUAACCAGUAACCUCCCCCGUCCCUAACCAGUAACCUCCCCAGUCCCUAACCAGUAACCUCCCCCAUCCCUAACCAGUAACCUCCCCAAUCCCUAACCAGUAACCUCCCCCAUCCCUAACCAGUAACCUCCCCAAUCCCUAACCAGUAUCCUCCCCCAUCCCUAACCAGUAACCUCCCCCAUCCCUAACCAGUAACCUCCCCCAUCCCUAACCAGUAACCUCCCUAACCAGUAACCUCCCCCAUCCCUAACCAGUAACCUCCCCCUUCCCUAACCAGUAAUCUCCCCAAUCCCUAACCCGUAACCUCCCCCAUCCCUAACCAGUAACCUCCCCCAUCCCUAACCAGUAACCUCCCUAACCAGUAACCUCCCCCAUCCCUAACCAGUAACCUCCCCCUUCCCUAACCAGUAAUCUCCCCAAUCCCUAACCGGUAACCUCCCCCAUCCCUAACCGGUAACCUCCCCCAUCCCUAACCAGUAACCUCCCCCAUCCCUAACCAGUAACCUCCCUAACCAGUAACCUCCCCCAUCCCUAACCAGUAACCUCCCCCUUCCCUAACCAGUAAUCUCCCCAAUCCCUAACCCGUAACCUCCCCCAUCCCUAACCAGUAACCUCCCCCAUCCCUAACCAGUAACCUCCCUAACCAGUAACCUCCCCCUUCCCUAACCAGUAACCUCCCCCGUCCCUAACCAGUAACCUCCCCAAUCCCUAACCAGUUUCCCCCCCCUAUCCCUAACCAGUAACCUCCCCCAUCCCUAAACAGUAACUUCCCCCAUCCCUAACCAGUAACCUCCCUAACCAGUAACCUCCCCCAUCCCUAACCAGUAACCUCCCCCUUCCCUAACCAGUAAUCUCCCCAAUUCCUAACCAGUAACCUCCCCAAUCACUAACCAGUAUCCUCCCCAAUCCCUAACCUGUAACCUCCCCAAUUCCUAACCAGUAACCUCCCCAAUCCCUAACCAGUAUCCUCCCCAAUCCCUAACCUGUAACCUCCCCAAUCCCUAACCAGUAUCCUCCCCAAUUCCUAACCAGUAACCUCCCCAAUCACUAACCAGUAUCCUCCCCAAUCCCUAACCUGUAACCUCCCCAAUUCCUAACCAGUAACCUCCCCCAUCCCUAAACAGUAACUUCCCCCAUCCCUAACCAGUAACCUCCCUAACCAGUAACCUCCCCCAUCCCUAACCAGUAACCUCCCCCUUCCCUAACCAGUAAUCUCCCCAAUCCCUAACCCGUAACCUCCCCAAUUCCUAACCAGUAAUCUCCCCAAUCCCUAACCAGUUACCUCCCCCAUCCCUAACCAGUAACCUCCCUAACCAGUAACCUCCCCCAUCCCUAACCAGUAUCCUCCCCCAUCCCUAACCAGUAUUCUCCCCAAUCCCUAACCAGUAACCUCCCCCAUCCCUAACCAGUAACCUCCCCAGUCCCUAUCCAGUAACCUCCCCCAUUCCUAACCAGUAACCUCCCCCAUCCCUAACCGGUAACCUCCCCCAUCCCUAACCAGUAACCUCCCCCAUCCCUAACCAGUAACCUCCCCCAUCCCUAACCAGUAACCUCCCCCAUCCCUAACCAGUAAUCUCCCCCAUUCCUAACCAGUAAUCUCCCCCAUUCCUAACCAGUAACCUCCCCAGUCCCUAACCAGUAACCUCCCCCAUUCCUAACCAGUAAUCUCCCCCAUCCCUAACCAGUAACCUCCCCCAUCCCUAACCAGUAACCUCCCCCAUCCCUAACCCGUAAUCUCCACAGUCCCUAACCAGUAACCUCCCCAGUCCCUAACCAGUAACCUCCCCCAUUCCUAACCAGUAACCUCCCCAGUCCCUAACCAGUAACCUCCCCCAUCCCUAACCCGUAAUCUCCACAGUCCCUAACCAGUAACCUCCCCAGUCCCUAACCAGUAACCUCCCCCAUCCCUAACCAGUAGCCUCCCCCAUCCCUAACCAGUAACCUCCCCCAACCCUAACCAGUAGCCUCCCCCUAUUCCUGAUUCCUGUGGUGCACCAGCCCGUCUCUCUGGGAGCCUUGGGGGCCCACUGAUAACAGAACCAUAGCCAGCCUAGCUCUCCCCUCCUCUCCUUUCCUCUUCUCUCCUCCUCUCUGUGGAUGGGAGCUGUGGGACCAAGAUAAGUGCCCAGACUGCUCUCACCAAACACACAAACACGCACAAACACACACACAUACACACACAGCUCCCAUCGGGCAGCGGCUUACCUCAAAGUGCAUUGGGUUUAAAGAAUGGAAGUGUCACUGUGAAAAUGUAAACAGUGAGGCUUAUUUCCCUUUUGAAUGCCCCUGCAUGUUAUAGAGAAAACACUCACUAUUCACUACAUUUACAUUAAGAGCAGUAGCUCAUGUUAUUGACACUAUUUGAAAUUUUGAGGAAUAUAAGACGCAUAUUUCACUUAGCCUGCAUUUCAAAUGACACCCUAAUACCCCCAUAUAGUGCACUACAUGUCAAAGUAGUGCACUAUAGGGAACAGAGUGGGGUGCCCCUCGAUGCCCUUAAACCGCCAGGUUUACACAGCUCUGGUCUAAAGUAGUUAAUCACAGUAGGGCACUACAUGGAGAAUAUGGUGUCAUUUGAGAUGUGACCUUCGAUUAAAUCCAACUCUCUUUUCUGAU